CAGAACAUCACGGCAUUUGUUGUGGUAAAUAGUUCAGUGGCAAAGCGCCCGUUCCAUCUGCGGACCUCCAAAUGACCCUGAAUGCAGAGGUACAGAAAAGCUUUCCAUGCUCAUCCAGCCCAUCUCUGGUUACAUGAUAAGAAACGAGGCUGACACAGCAAUAUAAAUGUGACUACUCGCUAAGAAUGACCGCGGGUCAGGCCACAGGAUCCAGGGGAUACCCGGUAACAGAAGCUGUCAUAUUUAUCGCUGGCGUCUUCAGAGCCAGCUUGAGUAGCUGGAGACAGAGCACACAAAAGGACUAUUCAGUGCAGCCCAUGGUCUGAAAUGAAACAGAUGCGCUGUGGAAGUUUGCAAACUCCCCGGCACAGAAGGUUGGCAGAUCUGCGCUCUGUAACCAGGGCCCAUCUUCUUGGCAGAGCGCUCCGCACCCCGGUGCCAGUGGCACUGCUCCUGCUGUGCAGACGAAGGGCGGUCUGGAGGACAAAGCACUCAGCUUGGCAGUUAAAGGCAGGGAGAACUAAACCAAGGCUGAGAGCCCACUUGAGCUUUUAAGCCCUCCCACCAAUUUUGGAUGGUAAGCUGGUAUUUCAGGAAUUAGUACAACCAAAGGCACCUGGUCUGGUUUUACGGACUGGAACGCUCUUGGAAAGCAAUCAGAUACGAUUUGGACAAAAACAAUGGAGGCCCAGACACAGAGGCUGCCCUGGGAGAGUAUACCAGCUGUCUGCUCAGUUUCAAACCUCUAAUCAUGUUCUUGGAGAGAAAGCAAGGGGACCUGUUAGGGGUUGCCGAGCUCCGAGCUCAGGGCCAGGUCCAGGCGGCGGAGCCCGCGAGAGGGAGUCCUCCCAGCACACAGCACCUCGGACUUGAAUUUCUGGCACCCGGACAGCAGUAAAUGAGACCGAGUUUCUGAAUAUUCGCCACGGGCUGAGGACGAGGCGAGGGGAUUAAAAACGGUGGCACAAGCUAAGAUGAAAUAGUGGAAGUGGGGAGAGCAGUGGGAUGAAGGCUGGCAGCGCACAGAUGGGCAGAGCACCUGCUGGCAUGGCACGCAUCGCUCCCAGGGAAUCCAGACUACUGGUACUGCCUCAAAGCAAAUCAAAGCCUCAGACAGAAAUAGCCAAAGCCCUGCCAUGCCCUCCUUCAACUCUUUAAAAACAUCUUUGCCCCUGCUUGCAAACUACACAGGAGCAUUCAACAGCUGGCAGACUGCAAAGCCGCGCCUUCACAGAUCAUUCCAAGAGACCCUGGUGCUCUCCCCAUUGAUUUCCUUAGGCCACGCUUUGUCUCAAUGCAACGUGUGACAUCACCUGGAGAUACCUCACUUUGCCUUCCAUUCACCCCAGUGAGAUGCAGGCAAUUACCUGAGCCUUUUGUUAGGAGUCUAAUCCUCUUGGGCCCUGCAGAAGAUCAGCAGUGUUUCCAAAGGUGAUUCAGCCCACCCCAUCGGCCUCUGUGCUACUAACAUGGGUACACCAAACAUGAAGAGGGGUGAAGUCAUCCAGCUCUGUGCACACACGAUUCCUAUCUCUGUACAGGACCUCCUGUUGCUGCCACCAAGCUCCCAAACCAGCACGCCCCAUACAGAGCCCUGACACCUUGCUCUGCAGCAUGUUCAAUGCCCUGCACUGAUGCCCUGAAUCUGUUCCCUUUCUGCUGAGCCCCUGGCCCUCCCUGUCAUCACCAGGAGAGACAGAUGCUCUCAAAGCAAUAUUCGAUCUGCCAGGAGCCUAAGUUGCCUCCUGCACCUUAUUUCUCUCUGCUGACCCAAAGGAACGCUUGGUGGAACAGAACUGUGACCCAGGACACGCAAUCUUGUGCUUCAUGUUACAGCAAAUCUACAGCUAAGAGCUUGCACAUGCAGAGUGAGAGAAUAAGAACUGCUCUGGAGUACUUGCACUAUAAAAUGCUGCACACCUGAGAGAUUUUUGGACUCCAAGUAAGCCACAAAUAUGAAGUGUGAAUGGUUUACACUGGCACCUGGUCUUCUCAGCAGCUCAAUAUGCAUAAACGAUGUUGAAGUUAACCAAAAGAACGAUCAAGGCACCAGAAAGCUAUCAUAGAAGUGAGUCCUGGUUAUGGGAACUGUAAGAAACCAAACCUUUUGAGGAGUGUGAUUCAAAUCCUGACCACCAGAUUAAGGCAUAACUUCUCCUGAAGCCACCCAAGAGACAGGCUUGCACCAAUUGCAGAUCUGGUCCUGUUUGAAACGCUUUCAAAGAAACCAAACUGCAUUCGGUUUCUUAGGAACUGCCCCAGAUCUCACAUUACCAGCAUCCAAAGACAGAAAUCAAAGCACAGCAUACUUCAAGGUAUGAAUCAGCAAAAGAAUUCCUGGAUUUCUAAGAUGGAUUUGAUAAGCUGCUGUUCCCUGCACCGUUAUUAUUAUUAUUUGUAUUUUUCAGAGAUCUCAGAGUGUUCUCAGUACUUUGCAAACAAUGUCAGAAUUCACAUCAUCUUCCAUGCAAAGUGCCCGUUGGGGUUAAUGCAAAAAACUGAAAGCUAUCUAAAAAGGCAGAAAAUCCAAAGCUGACUCAGUUUGUCUCAUUAUAAAGCACUUUCUGAAGCAUCCUCUCGUCAACCAUUUCCUUACUAGAAAUCAUUUGACUUGACACCAUUUUUAAAACCUUUGCAGUCUUACAGCUAUGUAACUCCUCUCUGAAACAAGCCAACUUCAGCUGUAGCAUUUUUAACACCUUUACAUUCGUAUGCAGGCCCACAUUCAGCCCUCAGGAUGCUACUCACAGAACUCAGAGUCACUCCAGGGAAGAGGCUGACUGAUCACGGCGGUGAUUCUAUGACAUCUGCAAUGCACAGCACUGCUGCUGCCUUUGAACACAACUUCAGCCUCGCCUCAGCGAUCCCUCCUUUGUGGUGGCAUUCCCUUCUCAUCCAGCUGCCAAAAGGAGAUCUGAAAUGAACAUCAUAAACAUUGAUUUUUUUUCCUGCUAAGCAUCCAAAACCAUAUCCGAGAUAAACAAACAAAGCAAAACACUUGGCCCGAACCAUAUCCUGGCUCCAAACAAAUCUGGAUAAGAAAUUUGUGGUUGAGAUCUGUUCAUAUUAAACCCAGUGAAGUAAAUAUAUCUCACAUGUGGCCAUUUCUGUGAUUCCAGAGACCCAAAGUAUUCUGUGGCUUGGUUAACAUCCUUUGCCAUCAUUCUGGAUGUGACUCGUGGGUAGGUCUGUGCCAUAGGGCCAGGGACACCCCGGUUGUGUCUGAGAGCACUAACCCAGACCCAGAGACACCAAGCAGCAUGGAGGAAGAUGUAGGUAUUACAUGGGCAGUCUAAUUUCUGGAAUCAGAGCAUCUCUGUGACCCUGCGCCAGAACCAGCUUGGGAUCUAAUCCGCCCCAGGGACAUGCCCCUGAGGCCUGGGCACAUCUCACUUACCUUUAGGAACCUGCCCGAAGUGCCUCAGGUGAGAGACAUCCCCAAGGCACUCAUGCAAUCAACAGCCAGAGGUACCUUUGGAGAUGCCAAUCUCUCGCAUUAGCUACAACGCCUUAGGGCAGUUCAAGCCCAAUGAUCUAAGCCAGCCAGUGCCUCAGAUCCAGCUUUCCUUUGUGCUCUGCUAUCCUGGCAGUUGUUUGGCUCCUGCCCAGAAAUGGAGCACCUUGGGGAUCUCGCAUCACAGCCCAAGCUUUCCAAAUAGCAUUAUCUGCAAAGCCGUAAGGACGUAUGUGGAUCAUCAGUUCUCAUACAGAGCAUCUUUCCUUCCCAUCGAUUUUCCAUCACUGCUCUAACUUCCAGGAAACACAAGGGAUUUCCUGUGGCACGUGGGACUCGAUGGCAGGACACUGCUAAAGCCAAAGACGAUGAGAGGCUGCAGAGCUCCAAAUGUGCUGCACCUUGUGCUCGCAGCUUCCACCGAGUUCAACUUUUGCCUAAAAAGAACUAAUUAACACCGGACAGCCCCGCAGCAAUUCCUCAUCUGCUCUGGAGCAGAGGAGCCCAUCACUAUGGUGAUACAACAUUAAAGGGCUGGGUCCAAAAUGCUUUUCUGGCAGGAAGACGCACGCACCAGGCCAGAAUCGGGGAUGCCAGGCGAGCUGCUUGUAACUCUGGAGGAGAUGCUCCAGGCUUACCCCAGUGUCACUGAGAUUAGCCCUGGCCCGCGGCCUUUGAGGACAGCUCCAUCCCGGCAGGCAGAUGGCUCGCCUUCUAAUUUGGAGGGGCUGAAUGACUUUCCAAACCUUUGAUUCCUGACUGAUGUAUUCACUUCAGGAGACACAAAAGUACAAAAUCUCAGCAUGGAGUGACUCCCGUGCUUUCUUUUUCCUUCCCUCCCACCCCCCCUCGCCUUGUCUUUUCUUUUCUUCUCUCCCUGGACAGUUUUAUAAUUUUGGCAUGCAGCCAGAAUGUCUGUCCUUAUUAGCUUGGGCAGGCUGUGAAACACCUGCAGCCCAUUAUAGGCGGGGAGAGGGGAGGGGGGGGGGAAUGAAAAAAAGUCAACUGUCAUAGGUAAAGUAAUGACCAUUCAUUUCUUUGUUUUAACGCGCUAAAGGCACAUUCAAGAAGGGAAGGCAAAAAUGACGCAGCUUCCCCAUCGUGCCUACCAUUGACUGGACUCAACUGAAGACACUGGGUCAUAUUUUUAUCUGAUAAGCGGUUCCAAUAAGCAGUUAUACCUUCACACCAGUAAGGAUCCCAGUUUAUUCAAUGUGACAAGCGCCUGGUGCAUUUGAAUAGUGUCUUGUGCACCUUUUUUUAAUUUAUGUCUUUAUUAUGACCUAAAUAGGCAUUAGGAAGAAACUUCCCUCUGGGCAGGUUAUAACUAGACUGCCUACUGCCAUUUCCCUCUAAUAUCCCAGCUGCAAACACUGCCAGCUCUAGCUGAGCCUCCUUAACGGCAGCACAAAAGGGGUGUGGGAAGGGAUAGAUGUGGCCAAGUCCCACCGGCCACUGCCUCUACCAGAAGGGCUGCACAUCUGGAAGAGUGACCAGGGUCCAGACAGGGACAGUACCCAGUGUAUCACCACAGGCUUUGGAGGUAAACCUUUUAAUACAGAAAUUGCUUUCACAACUUAGGCACAGGGCAGCACUGGGGAGCCAGUCACAGGCACUAUUGACUCACCCAGCUCCCAGCCUGCAGCGCUUCACCUUACCCCAAACUCCUGCUAACUGACCCCAAAGACCUACUGGUUGUGGGUCUGCACUGCCCAUCGGAAGAAGAAAUGAGCCCUCUUCACAAUUACAGGGAUGUGUUGGUGCACAGGGAUGGCUAUUACUCUGCUCCUGGUUCCUGAUGCAGGAUCUGAGAUGCAGACAGCAAGGAGAUCAAAACAUCCUUCUGAAUCCCCAUUGUUUAGCAGUGCCACAAAAUAUAUAUAUACCUGUAUUGAAGGAAAGGGCACAAACAGACCUCCUGCUAUAGAUGUCGAACUAAAGGUGCAUGCAUCUUAACAGGGAUGCCAGAGAGAUAGGGGCUGGCGGGACAGCUAGAGGUCUAAAUAAUUUAUCACGCUCCUGAACUUUGACAACAAAGCACACAGUCUAAAUGCAGCUCCAAGAGUUUUGCUGCUGGCAGCAGACUCCCUCUCAAAGGACUAAAUGGUAUUUCAAUCCCAGCUGCCCAUUCAGUGAAAAUGCCACAGUCAUGAUGUUAAGAGACCCAAGGUUCCUUCCAAAACUUUGCUGUAUUUUAAUCAAACUUUCUUGCCUAGCUGCGAGGCAGUUGAGACAUUUACCCCAGCAGCUCGUGUUUUCAGCUCUGCAUCCAGUGGGGUGUAGCCGUAGGAAAAAAAGAUGGAGAUGAAGUCUUUGUCACCACAAGGGAUUCUGCCAAAUACUCCCAACUGCUGUCCUGGAGCAUGGAAACACAAUUCUGCUGUUGCACGCAGGUCUGACUAUUUGCAUUUUUAAUAAUUCAAGAGUUUAAUUAGUAUCAUGGCCUUAAUCAGAGGCUGAAAAUACAGCUGAAGUCAUCAGAGCUUAAUUAGUUUUUUUAAAAAAAAAAUACUGCACUCUGCAAACAUCCUUAACAUGAAGGUCUGUCCUGAGCUCGGUGACUCGGGGUUCAGAUGAACACAACCUGUUGCUUCUGGUUCCCUGGAUCAGUAUAGCUGAGAAUAACUCAAAAUCCCCGAACAACACAAAAUCAAAUCAGGUGUCUGCCCUUUGUUCUUCCCACAGAUUGCCCUGUGGACUCAGGAAAAACUGAUCAGAUUGAAGAGAACCUCCGGGUUCGUCCUGCAAACUGCAUGUGAACUUCCCCUGAGCAGGAAAUACACACUCUUAGGAGAAGUACCAACAAGUAUCACUGGAUCCUCACUCAUGUGGGCAGACCACUGUCCUGAGAGCAGUAUGGCCACCAGAAUCAUUGCUCAGCAGUGGGACCACAGGAGCCACCCUGUGUGGGAGCUCACAGUGCUCCCUUGCAGCCCCAGAUGGGUGUCGAAGCACUGCAGGUCAGGUGCAAGGGAUGGAAGUGGUCUGCUGGGGAAUGACCACCAAUAUGGGGCUGAGGGAAUCUGAAGCCCUGGCAACAGCCAUCCAUUUACUCACCAGACAGAUUGAAAGCAUUGUACAGGACAUCCUGGAUGGACUUUUUCAAACAAUAUGCGGUUUAAUGGUGGGAUUCAUCACCACCCAAUGCUGCGGAGGCCAAAUAUAUAAACAAGUUCAAAAAUGGAUUAGCAAAACUCAUGGAAGAUAGGUCAAUCAUAGACAAUUAAAUAUGGUAGUCCGGAUGCAACUUCCAGUUCAGGAAGUUAGUCAGCCUAAUGCCUUUCCACCUCUGAUUUACUUGUAAAAAGGAAGCCUGAAAAAUUCUCCUGAUGCCAAAACUGUCCCUCGGCUCCAAGCAUUAACUACAAUCACAAUAUACUCUUUUUUAUUUGGCAGGGGGAGGGGAUUACAUUUUCGUUCAGUAAUGAUAUUACAACAUGCUAUUUAUCUCCCCCUGCAGCUCCUGGACCUCUGUGUAACCUCCCAUCUCCCUGUCCUCCUAGGAAUAUCACAAAUAAAUUAGUGAAGUCUACUGGAAGGUGAUAGCAAUCACAGAUACUGCUAAAUUCCAUUUAGCAAGGAAUAAGGAAUCCAAUCACUUAUGUACAUAGGAAAGGUCUGAGUGGAUCACACUGUUAAAACAUUCUGUCCUUCAGAGUACCGGACCAGAGGAAGGUGCUGGAAAGCCAGGAUGGAAAAAAUACGAGCUGGUUUGUCCCCAAGGAAAGUUCUUUGUAACCUCAGGACAGUUAGCACUUGAUUUAUUCCCUGACACAUGCGGGCACAGAGGCUAAUUUUAUACAUAUACACUAAAUACACACAGAGUACAUCGCACACUGUGCUGCUGUGUAUCCCCAUCCCCUUUGGACCCUGUUAAACUCCCACAGGACCCAAAGAGCAGCUGACAGCACAGGUUAUCUGCUCCCUGUCCAGCUGCCCUCCUACCUGCUGCGCUUCUACCCACUACCUCCUUUUUGAGGGUGUUUUGGGGUGUUGCUGGAGAGCAAAGGACAAGAUGACAAAUGAGCUAACACACAGCAACGGAAUGUAAGUGAGUCUCAGCUAUUUUUAAUUAAGAAGCGAUGACAGCUGACUAAAUUCCCUGACACUGCAGUUAAAGGCUCUCUGACCCAGACAUCAUUGGACACUCUCCUACGACCAAUAUAUAUGGGUCCCGACGGUGCUUCUAUUAUUGUCCCCGCCGUCUCGACAGAUGCAGGACUAACAAAAUCUAUGUCUAUUAUCAGCAUGCAAAUAGUGAGAUAAAAGUGUGAAUGCUUAUGAGCCAGAGGAGGCAGCAGGUGAGAGGAGGACAAUGAAGGUCAUUUUCAAGGGAGUGCUGAAAGUGCCAAUGUUUGGCUUUCAAUAAAUGUUCACAAGGUUUAGACAAAUUUAACUGUCAUUUUCAUUUUCGGUUGGUUAAACCAAUGAUGGAUUGACCACGAGAGAGGCAGAGAGACAGAAAGAACAGUUCCUGCUGUAAGGCAGAUAAAAGAUAAGAGGUAAGGCAGCGUGAUCUGUGGACUGACUUCUCUCAGCCCACAGAUCACAGGGAGGGCUCCACAGAGAAAGCUUAUCUUCUCAUUCCCAGACCAAAGAACCCAGCAGCCCGGUAAGGGAAUCUGGAUUUGAAGGCCAGGGAUACACCUGACUUCAUACAAGGAUUCUUUAAAAGAGCUGAGAAUACAACAAGGUGUCCAGCUCCCACUACCACAACAGGCUGCCUAUCCUGCAGUGCAACAAUACACCAUGAAUCCCAUGCUAGGCAAGGUGUCAGCUCUGCACUGCUUUAGCUGUCUUGGAAAGAUGUCAAGACGAAGAUACCAACCACACAAAGACAAUACAAAACUCACUCACUUACUCAGGGCUUGCACAGGCAAUGAAUCCAGCAUGAGAUCACUUUACCUUGAGCUCACUAGUUGGUUUCAAUAGGACAGACAAAGAAAAGAUGCCCUUCUAUCCUCUCCAAAGGAUCAUGGAGAGAAGGGGUAAACUGGCAGACACGUCAAAGUCAAACAAAUCACGUACAAACUUGGCAUGGGCGAGACAAACACAUUAAGGAACAUCAUCAGGAACUUUCCAGUAUGGUUGCACAGUGGGAGGGGGAAAGAGAUGCUUUCUGCUGUUGCUAAGACAGUUCCCCCAGCCUUAUUCUCUCUACCAACCCAAUUGACGGGUGUUCUCCUCCCAUUGGCUCACCAGCUGCAUCGAAUGAUCAUGACAGGUUUUCGUCCUCCUCGCCCUAUUGGCUUCUGCCUAUGGCCUAUUAUCAGGGGAGAGCAAAUCAGACACGUAAUCAAUAGUUUGCGAGAAGGAACAGGGCUGCAUGAUGCUACAUUUGCAUGAAAUCUCUUGCUGCUAUGCCUCUGCAUUCAGAUAAGCACAGAUUAGCUGCAUCAGCCGCGCUCGCAGAGGUGAGCGUUGAUGGCAGACGGAUAGCAAAGCAGCACUGCAGUGAGCUGCCAAGGAAAGGCAGCACUGAACGCUCCAGUCCUGCUCUACAGAAGGUAAACCAGUGUGAAUCAAAGACCACCAGCAUCCUGCCCCAGCACCAGUCUAGAUGUAUGCAGAAAACUUUUUUUGGUCGCCCACUGAACUAGUAUUCCUGGCUUGGGUGCUCCUCAGGGCAACGAGCUACGAGAAUAACAAAAAGGUGCAUAGCAGGGGAGAGAUCUUCCCUGUAGUGAUGCCCUCUCCAGCAGGGAUGUAUGAAGAUGCUUUGUUUGAAGGCCUCCAGAAGCAUUCUGGGGUAGGCAGAGAGCAUGGAAGCACUCCACAAGGCCGCAGACAGCUUUCCUGGCCAGAUACAGGAUGGUGUGUGACAAGUCAGCCUCCAUAGCCACACUCCUUGGUCACCACAAGGCCUGCAGGGACAUGGGAACAGUGGUUUCUUCAUCUUGCAGCCACAAAAACCCAUUAUUAGGCAGAAGAGCACAGCAGUAGUGGGAUAGUUUCCAGUCCCACCACAGCCCAGGUCAAGGCCUGGAACAAGAAGUGGCAGAUGAGUUGCAAUCGGUUUCCAACUAUAAGUAACGCUGCCUUGAACCAACAGCACACGUAUGAAACACCCGUGUAAAACAACCAGAUGUUGCCAAUGGAUUUCAAAUCAACCACAAAAUAAAACUCCUUCUUAAGGAUGGGAACCUCAGACACCAGGGGAUCAAGUGCACCACCAAGUCAAGCGCAGUUAACUAGUGAACCAGCCCCAGCCUUAAAGCUUUAAAUUCACUGACGAAAUAUCCCCAGGCAUGUUUGGACAACAGGGAACAGCAGCCCUUUGGCUAUUUUCCUUUGCCACACAGGUGACUCAGUAUCCGGACUACAGAAGAAAAACUGGUGUUUCCUUUUCUGUCCAGGACCACAAGUGACUGGCAGCAGAAGGAGCUCAGUCCAGCUUCCAGCCUGCUCCUAACAGAGGAACACACAACUAAAAGAGGCCAAGGAACCCAGCAAACCCAUCCACUGCAGUUGGACAUGUGCACAUUCAAUGUACAUACACAGUCCAUGUGCUUUCUUCCCUUUACAAUAAGCAGGUUCAUUUAGGAAGAGUUAUAACUUAGACUGCUAUAGCCCAACUACGAGGCAAGACAGGAAAAUAUUCUCUGGAAAUUUCCACUGCCAACCUAUUUUUUUUUUCUGGAGGAGCAGUUGGACAAAAUACAGUGGAUCAGUUAAAAAAAAUUCUAAGUUUUUGACCUGAAUUCAUUCAUAUUUCUCACAUCGGUGGGGAUGGUUUCUUCAACAUAAGGUGGACUUUGAAGUUAGAAGGCAGAAAGAGAAAAGAGCCCAUCUAAUAAUCAGGUUCAAACCCCUACUUGAUCUCACCCUGUAAGGACCUUGAAUUAGGUCUACAGUUACCUAUCUGGCUUCAAGUAUUUUGGGAUCUCUCCCCAGCUGAUAUGGUCUAAGUUGCAUCCUAAGGCAGAACAGGAAGAAUGCUCUGAGUUCUCAAAAACGUUCAUGACUUUGGACAAAUACAUUAUAUUCAGCUUCAAAACAACUCCGUUCUCUUUUUGAUCUUAUGUAAUAGUCUAGAUGUCUGUGUUUUGAUUCCUCCCAAUUGUGCACUGAAACUGGUACAGAGCUCCAUGAAAGAAAAUUAAUGGACUGGAAGGAAACGUACACUUUUUUCUCUCUCUAAACCAUGUGCCUCUUUCCAGAGAAGAAAAGCAUGAAAUUUAGCAACAACUGAGCUGAUAAAACAAACUCAAAUAAGAACUCCUAUCAUAAGCUAAGUCUGCUUCAGCCACUCAAGAAGAUGGUACCAAUGAAUGAAGCCUUGUAGAUCAAUAAAAACCUCUUAAAUAAAACGAGAGCUCUUUCAGACUAAUUCAAGAAGCAUCCUACAAUGAAAAAAGAUUCUGUCCCUGAUGGCCUGGGAUCAGACUUCUUUUCUCCAUACUCUUAGUGCCUACACAACGGCAUUUAUCUGGACCAAUUAGAUUCUUACCAGGAACGUGUAGGAAAUACUCCACGCAAAGGUGAAGCUGCUAUGUUACAACCUAUGUUGCUCUGACUAUUAUGGUGAUCAGUUCACUUUUGAUUGAGCACUUCAUCACCAAAAUAGGAAGGGGUUCUCCCUUACCUGGGAAUGAAUUCAGUCCUGAAUGGCCUUGUUGGUGAGUUUGCAGCAAGAAGGCAAAAAAGGAUGGAUGCGCACUUCUUCGUCUCCACCUCGCAGCAGGCACAACCUAGGAUAACAACAAUGAGAAACAUAUAGAUAUAAGCCCAAUGGAUGAUCAGGCAGCAAACAUAGGGACGGGAAGGAAAUAAAACCUCUGAGCCUUUCUCGGGGAUACAGAGUGCUCAGACACCUUCUGCUAUCUGUUCAUCCCACAGCAAUACCGAGACGUUCUGUACAGCCCCAACGGCCGUACGCAGCAGUGCAGGCAAAGGAAACAAAGCUGGAGCUCAAGCAGGGGAACACUGGUGUUCACAGGUCUGCUUCCACACCCCAGCCCUGCUCAUGAUAUAUCUGUCUCUAGCUCACAGCUUGGACCUCAGGGCUUUCAGGCUGCCAUUUACCAGCAGUCCUGGUGGAGAAGGAGGAGUCAAGAAACCCGAGAGCCAUUUCUGAGCCAAAAGGUUUUGUUCAGAUUCAUUUUCAACUUUUCAUUUUGAAAUGUUUUCAUAAUUCCCAGCAUCUCUCCUUUCAGAUCUGCCUCACUUUAAAAAAUGCUGGAAUGUCACUGCUCUUCUAAUUGUUGUUCCAUAGAGAGAACUAUUUUCUGUAUGCAUUUCAGAAUUGUUACAAGAAACAAUCCAAGAAUAUAGCCAUCCUUUCUUAGUACACUGUAUAACUGUUCAUGAAGGGUUUCAACUUCUGUCUUGAUCUGCUUCUUGUUUGUUUCCCAGCUUCAUCUCAUUAGUACAAUAUCUGAAGGAGUUCAUAUUAUUAAUAAAGCCAAACCACAGGAAUACAUCUCGUAACUGCUCUAUUUCUCUGAUGCCGAAGGCUAGUAAAAGGUCUCCAAACUUCAAUUUCAUCUUUUAAUAGUUCUAUGCAAGGUAACUCAACGUUACUAGUCCCAUUUUGCUAUUAAACAGAGGCACGGAAGAGUGAUAAGAACAGUCCCAGGCCAUAAAACAAGUAGAAAAAGACAACCAAACCCUGAGUCCUGAUCCACAGCCUCCUGCUCCGUCCCAGAGGACAACAUUCUUUCCUAUGACUACUAAAAAUAUUGGGGUCUCCUGUGAAACAGACGGCAGUGCUAAUUUUUGAGGUGAAACGAGCUACCCAGCAUGGGAAACCAUGGAAGAGAAUAUAAUACUCUCAACUUCCUGAACUAUUGUACAAUAAACAGCUUCAGAGCUGGUUUCCCACAGAGACACCUGUAUUUUAGGAACAGAUAAGAAACGACACGUGCAUAUACAUGGUCACACCUUCUUUUUUCCUAGCUGCAUACACAUAUAUAGCCAACAUGCACAAAAAUAAAAUACAUGUGUGUAUAUUAAAUAUGCAUCCAUCCGUAUCAAAGUCACCACAACCAGAAGGAGCUUUGAAGUUUGACUCAGCACGGCCUGAAAAAAAAUGCACAGAAGCACAAGAGCCAGCAAAUCCUGAGCUCAGACCCAAGAUGUGACUCACCAGGUCGUCGGGAGCAACUCAAUACUUUCACUGCCUUGGUUUCCCCAGCUGUAAAACAGAGCUAAUUACACCACAGCGCAGAUGUGGGAAUGAGCUGCCUGCUCUGUGCACAGUGCUUCAGGCACAGAAAAUGCAAAGACCUGCUUGAAUGAGAGUCUGAAGCCAAGGCACUUCCUUCAAGAUGCCUCUCCCCAGCAGCCACGCAUUGCACCUGCCCAUAAAACGCCCGAGCUUCCCAUUUGUCCAUUGGUCACAACUUUAUGCCCUUCCCUCAACAUGUGCCACCCCACAGCCCUCUCCCAACGUCACCACCUGGCUACCUCUCCAUAUAUUUCUAUAACUCUUCAGAAGUGCUACAUAAGCCAGGAGUGCCUUUGGUACCAAUGCCAGUGGCUCUCAUGAAUGCCGACUCUUAAAACAGAGAGAAUAAGCAAACUAACCUUGUUAGUUUCCAGGCUCAUUUGUUUAGGAUGACAGAUUGACAAACAUGGUCUCUUCCACCUUUUUCUUUUUACAAACAGCUUUUUAUAUCUCAUACCCCAAAAUAAGCCCUGACCCAGCUGCGCUGCCAUGUUAAACAGUAAUUACUCUAUAUAAGGCUGACCGAAUGGGAAUAUUUGUGGGACAGUGGAAUGGAAUUAUUUUAGGACUUACACAAACUCUCUCUGGGAGUGGCAAGGCUGGCUGUGGGUAAUGUGGUGUACCUAAGAAACAAGUGGACACAGGAAGGUUUUUUCUUCUUCUUCCAGGCCUCCAUUAAAACACACGAUAGCUGACAUUAAACCACUUUCCCAAACUUCUACUCAGGUAAAAAGAUAAAACUAAAAAAAAUGUAUUAAAAAUACAUAUUAAUGUUUCAUCCUGGCUACAUUAAGGAUGCACUCACCAUCUUUUGGCCACAUCUGGGCCCACUGGAUACUUGUUACUCACAGAGGAUGAGCCCAUCAAUACAUCAACCCCUUCCCCUCUCAAGUACUCAGAGCAUCAUUUCCAAGGACCUCAUUUGAAGCAGGUGUGAGCUUGCAAACAGAACUGCUCUCACCUGGGGCACGGCCUGCCUUGUAGGAGGGUGGGGAUCUCUGCGGGGAAUCCUAGAGGAGGCUGAUAGAGCUUACAGAGUGGCAAUGCUCAGUUCAAAAAACCUGCAGAAAUUAGUGGCAUGCCAUUCUGGUGCAAGUGGCAGUUUUCCAGUUUCCAAAAUAUCCCUCCUCCUUAUGUCACGGUAAAAAAGUGUAAAAACAGAAAGUGGUUUAGCAAGUAGGAACAUUGCAAUUCAAAAUAGCAUCAGAGAGGAUUAGAGCAAAUACCCAGACUGUUCUAACGUGUGUUUACGGCCCAAAUACUGUACCAAUUCCUGUUAUUUUCAGGGCUUUCUUCCUGUGUUGUAACAUUCUCUCUGGGAUUAAACUUGGCCCAUACAACAUGUGACUCAUCUGACUGCAAGUCCUUGGGCAUGUGCUGCAGGUUUGGUUGCUGCUCAUCGCUGACGACCCAUCCUACAACCUCAGAGCCCAAUGCAACACAUUACACUGGGACUUUUGCUGAAGGGGUAGGAAGAAAAUGACAGCAUCUGCCUAACGCUAAAUUUUCACGCUUAAUUAAGGACUUGAAAAAUAAGUCAGUUUUCUGAGCAGGAUGGUGGGUGAAAAAUAAAAGAAAGUGAGUUUUUAAUGAUUUCAGAGAAACACGAGCCCAUUCUCUCGUCACUGUGCACCCUUGCAGCCAGGAAUUUCAUGUUAAAAAUUCGUUGCUAUGGAACUCAUGUUAUCUGCAGCAUGGAGCACUGCUGAUGGCCAAGCUAAUCCCAGGUGGCACUCCUCUGCCUUCACUGAUGUAAAACAGAUUCACUGCUUUCAGGUUUGCCUUUCAUUCUACCUGACUUCCUGCGUUCCAGAAGACUCAAAGCUGCCCAUACCCAGGGUUGGCUGAAGCCAUCACACAAAGCCCUGCGGCACAUCCCCUCAGCGAAGGGCCGCUGAGCUCCCCCGGCCUGGCAAAGGAUCAGCAGUCCUGAAAACAGAGCACAGCCAACUUCAAUACAAACAGCCCAGGAUGAGACAGCACCAUUUUGGACCCAGCCGAUGCAGAAGCGCAGUGGGUUGGGCUCCUUCAACCCCGGGCUGCUCUGCAGCUCCUCUGAGCCCCAGAAUUCCCACCUGCUCACACACAAAUGCUGCAGAGGAAAAGGAGAAUUUGAGGCACUGAGCCCGGCAGAGCUGCAGCCCCAGUGAGAAUGAUGCUUCUGCUCACGGCCAUGGGCGCUCCCUGACUCGUGCAAGGAGUCCAGGGGCUGUGUGCAACGGCUCUGCUGUCCUCUGCUUGGCAUCAGGUAUGUGCAAGCAAGCAGAGACAGGUGGAGGGGAGCACCUACUGCUUUUCUGCCUCAUGCUGCACAGGACUUAAAGCUCUGCUCCAUUUUAUAACACUGAGGCUCUUCCAGAAGACACAAAAUACACAGAUAAGCCAUGUUCUCACUGACCCAUGCUCCACUCAGCACAAGGAUUCCUCUGCAAGAAAAGCUCCUGAAAUCCACACGGUUCCUUUCUUAUUUACCUUUUUUAUCUUUGCUCAUUUUCUACAAAGAAAAGUAACCCAACCUCGGUUCAGUAUAAACCUAGCUGGAAACAAAAACCCUCUCAAUUCCUCUUCAUUAUAAAUGGAUUGUCAAUGUGUUAAAUAAAUCAGUGAAAAUGGAAAUCCAAAAAUAAAUAGCCAUCCUGCUGUUGCUAUGACAACUCAAAUUUUUUACCUGGACAGAGAUUCUAUGUUUCACAGUCAGCAAUGGCUGAAAAGGAGGGUCACAUUUCUUUUCCAUUCCUGGCUCGUGUCACCACCUACCCCGUGUAAUAGAAGAGAUUAUUUGGGGUUACUUUUUAGCAAAGGAGGGAAGAUCAAAGAGAGGAGCUAUUUUUCAUUCUGGACAGGAGAGAUACAUACACACAUGUUCACAACAACACAGCAGCUAUCAGCCCAGAAAGGAUGGAGAGCAUAAACACUACAGCAGCACUGCAAAGGCCCUGAGCUGCCCCUGCUAUGCUAAAUGCAAAGCAUGCUUAGAAUAAGAUUAACGCAGUUCAAAACCAUAUUUUGGCUCAUAGUGUAAGGCAAUCUUACCCCACUCAAAAGUAACAGUUCAGAGCAUCA
ensembl:lncRNA